rnacentral:rRNA from 1 species
CAUUAACGCUAUCGGAUGCUUUACACAUGCAAGUCGAGCGGCAGCGCGGUCUUCGGACUGGCGGCGAGCGGCGAACGGGUGAGUAAUACAUCGGAACAUGCCCAGUCGUGGGGGACAACACUUCGAAAGAAGUGCUAAUACCGCAUACGUCCUGAGGGAGAAAGCGGGGGAUCGCAAGACCUCGCGCGAUUGGAGUGGCCGAUGUCAGAUUAGCUAGUUGGUGGGGUAAAGGCCUACCAAGGCAACGAUCUGUAGCUGGUCUGAGAGGAUGAUCAGCCACACUGGGACUGAGACACGGCCCAGACUCCUACGGGAGGCAGCAGUGGGGAAUUUUGGACAAUGGGGGCAACCCUGAUCCAGCCAUUCCGCGUGAGUGAAGAAGGCCUUCGGGUUGUAAAGCUCUUUCGGCAGGAACGAAACGGCGAGCUCUAACAUAGCUCGCUAAUGACGGUACCUGAAGAAGAAGCACCGGCUAACUACGUGCCAGCAGCCGCGGUAAUACGUAGGGCGCGAGCGUUAAUCGGAAUUACUGGGCGUAAAGCGUGCGCAGGCGGUUGUGUAAGACAGGUGUGAAAUCCCCGGGCUUAACCUGGGAACUGCGCUUGUGACCGCACGGCUAGAGUAUGGCAGAGGGGGGUGGAAUUCCACGUGUAGCAGUGAAAUGCGUAGAGAUGUGGAGGAACACCGAUGGCGAAGGCAGCCCCCUGGGCCAAUACUGACGCUCAUGCACGAAAGCGUGGGGAGCAAUCAGGAUUAGAUACCCUGGUAGU